UUGAACGCUGGCGGCAGGCCUAACACAUGCAAGUCGAGCGGUAACACAGAGAGCUUGCUCUCGGGUGACGAGCGGCGGACGGGUGAGUAAUGUCUGGGAAACUGCCUGAUGGAGGGGGAUAACUACUGGAAACGGUAGCUAAUACCGCAUAACGUCGCAAGACCAAAGUGGGGGACCUUCGGGCCUCAUGCCAUCAGAUGUGCCCAGAUGGGAUUAGCUAGUAGGUGGGGUAACGGCUCACCUAGGCGACGAUCCCUAGCUGGUCUGAGAGGAUGACCAGCCACACUGGAACUGAGACACGGUCCAGACUCCUACGGGAGGCAGCAGUGGGGAAUAUUGCACAAUGGGCGCAAGCCUGAUGCAGCCAUGCCGCGUGUGUGAAGAAGGCCUUCGGGUUGUAAAGCACUUUCAGCGGGGAGGAAGGCGGUGAGGUUAAUAACCUCAUCGAUUGACGUUACCCGCAGAAGAAGCACCGGCUAACUCCGUGCCAGCAGCCGCGGUAAUACGGAGGGUGCAAGCGUUAAUCGGAAUUACUGGGCGUAAAGCGCACGCAGGCGGUCUGUCAAGUCGGAUGUGAAAUCCCCGGGCUCAACCUGGGAACUGCAUUCGAAACUGGCAGGCUAGAGUCUUGUAGAGGGGGGUAGAAUUCCAGGUGUAGCGGUGAAAUGCGUAGAGAUCUGGAGGAAUACCGGUGGCGAAGGCGGCCCCCUGGACAAAGACUGACGCUCAGGUGCGAAAGCGUGGGGAGCAAACAGGAUUAGAUACCCUGGUAGUCCACGCCGUAAACGAUGUCGAUUUGGAGGUUGUGCCCUUGAGGCGUGGCUUCCGGAGCUAACGCGUUAAAUCGACCGCCUGGGGAGUACGGCCGCAAGGUUAAAACUCAAAUGAAUUGACGGGGGCCCGCACAAGCGGUGGAGCAUGUGGUUUAAUUCGAUGCAACGCGAAGAACCUUACCUGGUCUUGACAUCCACAGAACUUUCCAGAGAUGGAUUGGUGCCUUCGGGAACUGUGAGACAGGUGCUGCAUGGCUGUCGUCAGCUCGUGUUGUGAAAUGUUGGGUUAAGUCCCGCAACGAGCGCAACCCUUAUCCUUUGUUGCCAGCGUUUAGGCCGGGAACUCAAAGGAGACUGCCAGUGAUAAACUGGAGGAAGGUGGGGAUGACGUCAAGUCAUCAUGGCCCUUACGACCAGGGCUACACACGUGCUACAAUGGCAUAUACAAAGAGAAGCGACCUCGCGAGAGCAAGCGGACCUCAUAAAGUAUGUCGUAGUCCGGAUUGGAGUCUGCAACUCGACUCCAUGAAGUCGGAAUCGCUAGUAAUCGUAGAUCAGAAUGCUACGGUGAAUACGUUCCCGGGCCUUGUACACACCGCCCGUCACACCAUGGGAGUGGGUUGCAAAAGAAGUAGGUAGCUUAACCUUCGGGAGGGCGCUUACCACUUUGUGAUUCAUGACUGGGGUG
rnacentral:rRNA from 1 species